rnacentral:lncRNA from 1 species
AUUUUAAACUCAGCAUCUCAAUUCCUAUCACAUGUUUCAUAUUCACCAGGGAUAAAGUUGCCAAGCCUAACUAGAGUCUUUUACUUGACCUGUGAGAUUCUUUUUAAUUUAGGCUGAGUUCCUGACUUUUGUA